rnacentral:rRNA from 1 species
UACGGAGGGUGCAAGCGUUAUCCGGAUUCACUGGGUUUAAAGGGUGCGUAGGAGGGUGUGUAAGUCAGUGGUGAAAUCUUCGAGCUUAACUCGGAAACUGCCGUUGAUACUACAUGUCUUGAAUACCGUGGAGGUGAGCGGAAUAUGUCAUGUAGCGGUGAAAUGCUUAGAUAUGACAUAGAACACCAAUUGCGAAGGCAGCUCGCUACACAUAUAUUGACUCUGAGGCACGAAAGCGUGGGGAUCAAACAGG